GAAUAUUGGACAAUGGGGGGAACCCUGAUCCAGCCAUGCCGCGUGUGUGAAGAAGGCCUUUUGGUUGUAAAGCACUUUAAGCGAGGAGGAGGCUACUUAGAUUAAUACUCUAGGAUAGUGGACGUUACUGGCAGAAUAACGACCGGCUAACUAUGUGCCAGCAGCCGCGGUAAUACAGAGGGGGCAAGCGUUAAUCGGAUGUACUGGGCGUAAAGGGCGCGUAGGUGGUCAAUUAAGUCAAAUGUGAAAUCCCCGAGCUUAACUUGGGAAUUGCAUGCGAUAAUGGUUGGCUAGAGUAUGGGAGAGGAUGGUAGAAUUCCAGGUGUAGCGGUGAAAUGCGUAGAGAUCUGGAGGAAUACCGAUGGCGAAGGCAGCCAUCUGGCCUAAUACUGACACUGAGGUGCGAAAGCAUGGGGAGCAAACAG
rnacentral:rRNA from 1 species